rnacentral:rRNA from 1 species
GGGUUGUGAGGUUAAGCGACUAAGCGUACACGGUGGAUGCCCUGGCAGUCAGAGGCGAUGAAGGACGUGCUAAUCUGCGAUAAGCGCCGGUAAGGUGAUAUGAACCGUUAUAACCGGCGAUUUCCGAAUGGGGAAACCCAGUGUGACUCGUCACACUAUCAUUAACUGAAUCCAUAGGUUAAUGAGGCGAACCGGGGGAACUGAAACAUCUAAGUACCCCGAGGAAAAGAAAUCAACCGAGAUUCCCCCAGUAGCGGCGAGCGAACGGGGAGGAGCCCAGAGCCUGAAUCAGCAUGUGUGUUAGUGGAAGCGUCUGGAAAGGCGCGCGAUACAGGGUGACAGCCCCGUACACAAAAGCGCACAUGCUGUGAGCUCGAUGAGUAGGGCGGGACACGUGGUAUCCUGUCUGAAUAUGGGGGGACCAUCCUCCAAGGCUAAAUACUCCUGACUGACCGAUAGUGAACCAGUACCGUGAGGGAAAGGCGAAAAGAACCCCGGCGAGGGGAGUGAAAAAGAACCUGAAACCGUGUACGUACAAGCAGUGGGAGCACAGGUUUACCUGUGUGACUGCGUACCUUUUGUAUAAUGGGUCAGCGACUUAUAUUCUGUAGCAAGGUUAACCGAAUAGGGGAGCCGGAGGGAAACCGAGUCUUAAUUGGGCGUUAAGUUGCAGGGUAUAGACCCGAAACCCGGUGAUCUAGCCAUGGGCAGGUUGAAGGUUGGGUAACACUAACUGGAGGACCGAACCGACUAAUGUUGAAAAAUUAGCGGAUGACCUGUGGCUGGGGGUGAAAGGCCAAUCAAACCGGGAGAUAGCUGGUUCUCCCCGAAAGCUAUUUAGGUAGCGCCUCGUGAAUUCAUCUCCGGGGGUAGAGCACUGUUUCGGCUAGGGGGCCAUCCCGGCUUACCAACCCGAUGCAAACUGCGAAUACCGGAGAAUGUUAUCACGGGAGACACACGGCGGGUGCUAACGUCCGUCGUGAAGAGGGAAACAACCCAGACCGCCAGCUAAGGUCCCAAAGUCAUGGUUAAGUGGGAAACGAUGUGGGAAGGCCCAGACAGCCAGGAUGUUGGCUUAGAAGCAGCCAUCAUUUAAAGAAAGCGUAAUAGCUCACUGGUCGAGUCGGCCUGCGCGGAAGAUGUAACGGGGCUAAACCAUG